GUGAGGAAUAUUGGUCAAUGGGCGGGAGCCUGAACCAGCCAAGUCGCGUGAAGGAAGAAGGAUCUAUGGUUCGUAAACUUCUUUUGCAGGGGAAUAAAGUGCAGGACGUGUCCUGUUUUGUAUGUACCCUGAGAAUAAGGAUCGGCUAACUCCGUGCCAGCAGCCGCGGUAAUACGGAGGAUCCGAGCGUUAUCCGGAUUUAUUGAGUUUAACGGGUGCGUAGGUGGUUUGAUAAGUCAGCGGUGAAAGUUUGCAGCUUAACUGUAAAAAUGCCGUUGAAACUGUCGGACUUGAGUGUAAAUGAGGUAGGCGGAAUGCGUGGUGUAGCGGUGAAAUGCAUAGAUAUCACGCAGAACUCCGAUUGCGAAGGCAGCUUACUAAGCUACAACUGACACUGAAGCACGAAAGCGUGGGGAUCAAACAGGAUUAGAAACCCCGGUAGUCC
rnacentral:rRNA from 1 species